CAUUGUUGGUCUGGUCGCCAUUCGAUCCCCAAAUCGAGAGACGAAAUCCUAGCCGCGCCGCACAGCCUAUCCCAAAUCGAAGCAGAUAGAACCGUAGCUUGCAAAGAUGGCAGAUCCAGGUGUUGAAGCAGUUGCUCUGCCAAUCGUGCCUUGUCCGGAUUGCGGCAGGAACGUGGUGACAUACGUAGCGCGGCGCGGUCAGAAUGCCGGCCAGCGUUUCUACAAGUGCUGGAAUCACAACGGGCGGAUGCGAUUUCUACAGGUGGAAAGAGGCGUACGCGGCGCAUGUGGCGACUCUUGGACAAGCAGCACCUGCAGUCGGGCAAAUCAGGGCAGUGCAGAUGCAAGGCGGGCAGGCGGAUGGAGCUCAAGUUGUGCAGGCGCCUCACGUUCAGCCGGGGCAGCAAAACGGAGCGCCGGAGGCGUGCAGGCUGCAUCUUUUGCAAGCGCGGUCGCAGGAUACAUGCUUGCGGCGGCUCCAGUUGCGGGUCGUCAGGGUCCCGCAGUGUAUCGAAGUUGCUUCUCAGAGCAGGAACUAUGGGGUUCAGCUCCUCUGCAGUUGAACUACUACUGCACGCGUGCUGUAGACGUUCAUAUCGCCCGUCAAUUCCCAUCUGGCCGCUCGCAUUUUACCUACUUAAUCCUGUUAACAAAAAAGCCUUCAUGUACACAGAUAAGUGCUUCCGUUCACACUGCACACCACGCACUAACUAGACUGGAGAGCAAACAGACUGAGGCAGGCGCGAGCAGACGACCUUGCCGCCGGCGAGGGUUCGUAUCUCCGGCCAAGCGCACUCCCUCCCCGAGCGACGGUCCGGCGGAUGGACCUCCAUGCCCGCCUGCUGCACCGCGGCUGUGUCCCCGGCUUGCCCAGGAUCUGCCGCCAGGCACCGUUCCUUGGCCUCACCAGCCGAUGCCGUCCCCUGGGGCUCGCCGGCCGACGCCGUCGACCGCAGGUACGUGGGAGCACUCCACCGUACUCAGGCUGGCUGUGCCGUCCGACGCCCUCCACCUUGAUGGAAGCUGCCCGCUUCCUCCAGCCGCUCGCCGAUGGGGAUCUGCCGGCCCCGCGCCGCCACUGCCCAGGAAGGAGCUAUUCCUCCUCCUCUCCGGCGUGUGGGAGUCCGCCGUGCAGGCGCUUCUCGAGCUCGGGAGAGGCACAGGAGAAGGAAGGCAAAAAGGAGAUCAUCUACAUUAAUCUCCUGUCAAGUAUUGGAAAUCCCAAGUAUUUGAUGAGAAAAGCACCUAUGGUACAACUUGCAUGAGAAGGAUGGCAAAAGUGAGUUCAAAAGGGAGAUCAUCUACACCACUUGCAGAUCAGCAUGACGAGGACAAUCAGUACAGAGAUAGGGCAAAAGGGAGAUCUUAAUGCCACUUAAACUUGCAGAUCAACGUGAGGAGGACAAUCGGUACAGAGAUAGGGCAAAAGGGAGAUCCCCAUGCCGCCUAUAGAUCAGCAUGUACCUUGGUCACGUUUUGGCUACAAGGAGGACGACCAAGAAGGACUGGGGAACGCCCGCAAAAAAAAGCACUGGGGAAGACGGGGGGAGGAAGGCAUGGAGAUCGCUGUUUGGCGCCAAGGUGCGUUCUGUUUGGCGCCAAGUAGCCUUACCAGAUUUUCCACCGGACAAAUUGGGUGUUUGUUUUCAUUUUUUAAGAGAAUUAAGUGGGGAAAAUGAGAGCGGCCAGAUUGGAAUUGACGGGCGAUAUGGAUGUCUACAGUACACGUGCAGUAAUAGUUCGACUGCAGAGGAGCCGAACCUGGAACUAUGACAGUUUCAGUUUUCUUUUCUGCAUAGCUGGAACUAUGACAGUUUCAGUUUUCUUUUCUGCAUAGCUUGGUAAAGCCAUUUCCAGUGCACUCAUCCUGGCAGCACAUGGGGGUCGUUCAUCAUCAGGUGCACGCCCCAUACGGAUUCUGCAUAAUCCAGAUGCAUGUUUGUCAGUAAUAUAUGUUUGAAGAUGUUUGUCAGUAAUAUAUGUUUAAAGCCUUCUUCAGUAGAUGGCAUGCUCAUACAGAAACCGAUAUGAUAAACAUGGUUCGAAUAUUGUAACAAGAUCUUAGCAAUUGGAGCUAUGAUUGAACGAGAA